rnacentral:rRNA from 1 species
GGGUUGUGAGGUUAAGCGACUAAGCGUACACGGUGGAUGCCCUGGCAGUCAGAGGCGAUGAAGGACGUGCUAAUCUGCGAUAAGCGUCGGUGAGGUGAUAUGAACCGUUAUAACCGGCGAUUUCCGAAUGGGGAAACCCAGUGUGUUUCGACACACUAUCAUUAACUGAAUCCAUAGGUUAAUGAGGCGAACCGGGGGAACUGAAACAUCUAAGUACCCCGAGGAAAAGAAAUCAACCGAGAUUCCCCCAGUAGCGGCGAGCGAACGGGGAGGAGCCCAGAGCCUGAAUCAGUGUGUGUGUUAGUGGAAGCGUCUGGAAAGGCGUGCGAUACAGGGUGACAGCCCCGUACACAAAAAUGCACAUAUUGUGAGCUCGAUGAGUAGGGCGGGACACGUGGUAUCCUGUCUGAAUAUGGGGGGACCAUCCUCCAAGGCUAAAUACUCCUGACUGACCGAUAGUGAACCAGUACCGUGAGGGAAAGGCGAAAAGAACCCCGGCGAGGGGAGUGAAAAAGAACCUGAAACCGUGUACGUACAAGCAGUGGGAGCCUCUUAAUGGGGUGACUGCGUACCUUUUGUAUAAUGGGUCAGCGACUUAUAUUCUGUAGCAAGGUUAACCGAAUAGGGGAGCCGAAGGGAAACCGAGUCUUAACUGGGCGUUAAGUUGCAGGGUAUAGACCCGAAACCCGGUGAUCUAGCCAUGGGCAGGUUGAAGGUUGGGUAACACUAACUGGAGGACCGAACCGACUAAUGUUGAAAAAUUAGCGGAUGACUUGUGGCUGGGGGUGAAAGGCCAAUCAAACCGGGAGAUAGCUGGUUCUCCCCGAAAGCUAUUUAGGUAGCGCCUCGUGAAUUCAUCUCCGGGGGUAGAGCACUGUUUCGGCAAGGGGGUCAUCCCGACUUACCAACCCGAUGCAAACUGCGAAUACCGGAGAAUGUUAUCACGGGAGACACACGGCGGGUGCUAACGUCCGUCGUGAAGAGGGAAACAACCCAGACCGCCAGCUAAGGUCCCAAAGUCAUGGUUAAGUGGGAAACGAUGUGGGAAGGCCCAGACAGCCAGGAUGUUGGCUUAGAAGCAGCCAUCAUUUAAAGAAAGCGUAAUAGCUCACUGGUCGAGUCGGCCUGCGCGGAAGAUGUAACGGGGCUAAACCAUGCACCGAAGCUGCGGCAGCGACACUAUGUGUUGUUGGGUAGGGGAGCGUUCUGUAAGCCUGUGAAGGUGGCCUGUGAGGGUUGCUGGAGGUAUCAGAAGUGCGAAUGCUGACAUAAGUAACGAUAAAGCGGGUGAAAAGCCCGCUCGCCGGAAGACCAAGGGUUCCUGUCCAACGUUAAUCGGGGCAGGGUGAGUCGACCCCUAAGGCGAGGCCGAAAGGCGUAGUCGAUGGGAAACAGGUUAAUAUUCCUGUACUUGGUGUUACUGCGAAGGGGGGACGGAGAAGGCUAUGUUGGCCGGGCGACGGUUGUCCCGGUUUAAGCGUGUAGGCUGGUUUUCCAGGCAAAUCCGGAAAACCAAGGCUGAGGCGUGAUGACGAGGCACUACGGUGCUGAAGCGACAAAUGCCCUGCUUCCAGGAAAAGCCUCUAAGCAUCAGGUAACAUCAAAUCGUACCCCAAACCGACACAGGUGGUCAGGUAGAGAAUACCAAGGCGCUUGAGAGAACUCGGGUGAAGGAACUAGGCAAAAUGGUGCCGUAACUUCGGGAGAAGGCACGCUGAUAUGUAGGUGAAGCGACUUGCUCGUGGAGCUGAAAUCAGUCGAAGAUACCAGCUGGCUGCAACUGUUUAUUAAAAACACAGCACUGUGCAAACACGAAAGUGGACGUAUACGGUGUGACGCCUGCCCGGUGCCGGAAGGUUAAUUGAUGGGGUUAGCGGUAACGCGAAGCUCUUGAUCGAAGCCCCGGUAAACGGCGGCCGUAACUAUAACGGUCCUAAGGUAGCGAAAUUCCUUGUCGGGUAAGUUCCGACCUGCACGAAUGGCGUAAUGAUGGCCAGGCUGUCUCCACCCGAGACUCAGUGAAAUUGAACUCGCUGUGAAGAUGCAGUGUACCCGCGGCAAGACGGAAAGACCCCGUGAACCUUUACUAUAGCUUGACACUGAACAUUGAGCCUUGAUGUGUAGGAUAGGUGGGAGGCUUUGAAGUGUGGACGCCAGUCUGCAUGGAGCCGACCUUGAAAUACCACCCUUUAAUGUUUGAUGUUCUAACGUUGGCCCGUAAUCCGGGUUGCGGACAGUGUCUGGUGGGUAGUUUGACUGGGGCGGUCUCCUCCUAAAGAGUAACGGAGGAGCACGAAGGUUGGCUAAUCCUGGUCGGACAUCAGGAGGUUAGUGCAAUGGCAUAAGCCAGCUUGACUGCGAGCGUGACGGCGCGAGCAGGUGCGAAAGCAGGUCAUAGUGAUCCGGUGGUUCUGAAUGGAAGGGCCAUCGCUCAACGGAUAAAAGGUACUCCGGGGAUAACAGGCUGAUACCGCCCAAGAGUUCAUAUCGACGGCGGUGUUUGGCACCUCGAUGUCGGCUCAUCACAUCCUGGGGCUGAAGUAGGUCCCAAGGGUAUGGCUGUUCGCCAUUUAAAGUGGUACGCGAGCUGGGUUUAGAACGUCGUGAGACAGUUCGGUCCCUAUCUGCCGUGGGCGCUGGAGAACUGAGGGGGGCUGCUCCUAGU